AUUGAACGCUGGCGGCAUGCCUAACACAUGCAAGUCGAACGAGUGGCGGACGGGUGAGUAAUGUCUGGGAAAAUGCCUGAUGGAGGGGGAUAACGACUGGAAACGGUAGCUAAUACCCCAUACACUAGGCUGUGCCCAGGUGGGAUGAGCUUGUUGGUGGGGUAACGGCUCCCCACGGCGACGAUCCCUAGCUGGUCUGAGAGGUUGACCAGCCACACUGGAACUGAGACACGGUCCAGACUCCUACGGGAGGCAGCAGUGGGGAAUAUUGCACAAUGGGCGCAAGCCUGAUGCAGCCAUGCCGCGUGUAUGAAGAAGGCCUUCGGGUUGUAAAGUACUUUCAGCGGGGAGGCGUUACCCGCACAAGAAGCACCGGCUAACUCCGUGCCAGCAGCCGCGGUAAUUC
rnacentral:rRNA from 1 species